rnacentral:rRNA from 1 species
CCAAUAGCGUAUAUUAAAGUUGUUGCAGUUAAAAAGCUCGUAGUUGAAUUUCGGGAUCAAUUUAUUGGUCGUGCAAUAGUACGUACUGAUUUUAUUGAUUCCUCUCUUCUGAAGAACUAUGAUGUCAUUAAUUUGGUGUCAUAGGGAAUCAGGACUGUUACUUUGAAAAAAUUAGAGUGUUUAAAGCAGGCUCACGCUUGAAUACAUUAGCAUGGAAUAACGAAAUAGGACGUUUGAUUCUAUUUUGUUGGUUUCUAGGAUAGACGUAAUGAUUAAUAGGGAUAGUUGGGGGCAUUAGUAUUCAAUUGUCAGAGGUGAAAUUCUUGGAUUUAUUGAAGACUAACUACUGCGAAAGCAUUUGCCAAGGAUGUUUUCAUUAAUCAAGAACGAAAGUUAGGGGAUCGAAGACGAUCAGAUACCGUCGUAGUCUUAACCAUAAACUAUGCCGACUAGGGAUCGGAUGAUGUUAGAUUAAUGACUCAUUCGGCGCCUUACG